UACGUAGGGGGCAAGCGUUGUCCGGAAUUAUUGGGCGUAAAGAGCUUGUAGGCGGUUUGUCGCGUCUGCUGUGAAAUUUCGGGGCUCAACCCCGAACUUGCAGUGGGUACGGGCAGACUAGAGUGUGGUAGGGGAGACUGGAAUUCCUGGUGUGGCGGUGAAAUGCGCAGAUAUCAGGAGGAACACCGAUGGCGAAGGCAGGUCUCUGGGCCAUAACUGACGCUGAGAAGCGAAAGCAUGGGGAGCGAACAGG
rnacentral:rRNA from 1 species